GCUAUAACGCCUUUGUCUGACGUGGAAGAAGAGCCUUCUUUGCAGCACCUGUAGUAAAAGUAGAUUAUUUCAGUAACGUAAACGCCGUAUCUUCAAUAAUAUGUUUGUUUGGAGCUCGUAAUUUCUUCCCUGUAAAAAUUAUGCAAAAGUCUAACAUUUCAAAAUGCACUUCUGAAGAUAUCAGCAAACCAUAGGACCAGUGGCUAUAAUGUUGUUUUCUCGUUUUGUGCUCGUUAAUUUUGCUGAAUGUAUUUCUUCUGAAGAUCUCAGCAAACCUGUGGACCAGUGGCUAUAGUUGCUUUCUCGUUUUGUGCCCGUUAAUUUUGCUGAAUGGGACAACUCUGAAGAUCUCAACAAACCAGUUGCUCAGUUGUUAUCUAUAAUGUUGCUUUCUUGGUUUUCUAGAUAAUUGCACGAUUCUAGUAUUUAAAAUAAAUAUUUAAUGUAUUUAAUUAGUAUUGAAAAAAUAAAUAUUCAUUGUAUUUUAUAAUUUAAAUAUUCAUUGCAUUUUAUUAUAUAGUGUUGAAUAAAUGUUGGAAAAACUCUU